GGCAAUUUGGCCGAGUGGUUAAGGCGCGGCCCUGCUAAGGCCGUGUGCUAUGCAUGCGAGAGUUCGAAUCUCUCAGUUGUCG